CUCUUUUUCACCCAGUCUGUCAAAUCAGCAUCUCUGACACUUUUGUGAUGCAGACUCAACAAGGAUCUUUCAUUUGCACAAGCUCAAGAACGGCACACAGGAUGAGACUGGCGGUUCUCCUCUUACUCUUUGGAUGGGAUUUUGCCAGAUUCAUCACUUAUCAAUCUGACAUGUUUCCCUGCCAGAGAUCACAGAAUAACAACGCUUACAAUAAUUUCAAACACCGGCAUUUUCUCGCAUAUGAUUUCAACACAAGCAGUUGACGUGCUUGGGCAGCUUACCUAACGAGACAGCAUGUUUGUGGACGAACUUCUUGCCAGUCCUUCCUCCAUAAAAACAACAAGAAUAGCAUUAGAAUAGAAUAGAAAUGGGGAAUGUGAAGUCCAUCUUCGGACUGAGUGCUCUCAUGUAAUUGUGGCUUGUGAGGUCAUUGAAAACCACUGUGUGCCUAUUCGCUAUGAGACACAAACUAACAGUCGAUCACCCCGAGAUAGUGUGAUCUGCAGACCGUAGGCAGGAUUUCCUGAAGCACAAUGUGGAGUGUUAGCAUGACAUAAUUUUAACUUUAUCACUUUAGGACAUUUCAUAAAAGCAUCAUUAUCCAAGACGAAUACAAACAUCUUAAUAAGCUUCACGUUUGACCUAUGGUUAACAGUCUUGUGAACAAAUCAUAAUUUGUUCAGGUCAUAACGUGUGUUUACUUUUGUAUUCAUACAAAGUCCUAACCUUAUUUAGAUGAUAUGCACAGCCAACUUUAAACCAUCUACAUUAUUAUGAGAUGCAAUAUCACUUUUUGCACUUGACGUUUUAUAGAGUUUUAGGAAGUUUUAUUAACUUCCUUAGAUUUCAUAUUUAUUUUUACUCUGCUACAGUGUGGAUUUCCGCUAAAUUUUGCUUAAUUGCAAAUAUGUUCCAAGAAAUGAGUGCAAUUCCUCUUUUCCACCCAAUAAAUAUCUGUCAAAUCAGCAUUUCUGACACUUUUCUGAAGCAGAUUCAACAAGGAUCUUUCAUUUGCACAAGCUUAAGAACGGCACACAGGAUGAGACUGGCGGUUCUCCUCUUACUGCUCGUUCCCCUGGUGUUCACUGAUGGAUGGGAUUUUGGCAGAUUCAGCCGUGCCUUUCCCUGCCAGAGAUCACAGAAUAACAACGCUUACAAUAAUUUUAAACACGACCAUAUCCUCACAUAUGAUUUCAACACAAGCAGUCGACAUGCUUGGGCAGCUUACCUAACAAGUAAUAAUCUUUGUGCCAGAAACUGCCAGUCCUUCCUCCAUAAAAACGACACGAAUAACAUUGUAAGAAUCUGCAAUGGAGAGGCGUCAGAUACAAAGGAAACAAGUGCAUCAGUGAGAGAAGAUUUAAGGUGUACACUGUUCUCAGCAGGUUUAGAAAUAAGAAAUGUAGAGUCCGUCUUAAGACUGAGUACUCUCAUGUGAUUGUGGCUUGUGAGGUCAUUGAAAACCACUGUGUGCCUAUUCGCUAUGAGGCACAAACUAACAGACGACCACCCCGAGAUGGUGAGAUCUGCAGACCGUAGGAAGGAUUUCUUGAAGCACAGAGUAGCGUGUUAUGGAGUAAAUUCCACUCUAUCACUAUAGGACAUUUCACAAUAGCAUCAUUAUCCAAGAUGAAUACAAACAUCUUAAUAAGCUUCACUUCUAACAUCUAUCAAUUUUACAGCUGCCUUUGUCCUUUUAGGUCAGAGCUUGUCAUUUAUUUUUAUGAAUGUUUCUUUUAAUCUGUCCAUUUGUGAAUCUGUUAGUAUCAGCGAUUCAGAAUGCAUGCAUGGUGUUAUGAUUUUGCAAAACCAAAGUUGCCUUUGCUAAAAAAAUAAUGUCCUACUGUCUCUGUGAAGUGCCUGUGGAAGAAAUUUUACAUUUUGUCUUUUUCAA